GAGGGUAUAGCUCAGUGGUAAAAGUACAUGCUUGGCAUGCACGAGGUCCUGGGUUCAAUCCCUGGUACAUCCG
rnacentral:tRNA from 1 species